GAUGAACGCUAGCGGGAGGCCUAACACAUGCAAGCCGAGCGGUAGAGAUCUUUCGGGAUCUUGAGAGCGGCGUACGGGUGCGGAACACGUGUGCAACCUGCCUUUAUCUGGGGGAUAGCCUUUCGAAAGGAAGAUUAAUACCCCAUGAUAUGUUGGAUGGCAUCAUUCGACAUUGAAAACUCCGGUGGAUAGAGAUGGGCACGCGCAAGAUUAGGUAGUUGGUGAGGUAACGGCUCACCAAGUCUGCGAUCUUUAGGGGGCCUGAGAGGGUGAUCCCCCACACUGGUACUGAGACACGGACCAGACUCCUACGGGAGGCAGCAGUGAGGAAUAUUGGACAAUGGGUGAGAGCCUGAUCCAGCCAUCCCGCGUGAAGGACGACGGCCCUAUGGGUUGUAAACUUCUUUUGUAUAGGGAUAAACCUACUCUCGUGAGAGUAGCUGAAGGUACUAUACGAAUAAGCACCGGCUAACUCCGUGCCAGCAGCCGCGGUAAUACGGAGGGUGCAAGCGUUAUCCGGAUUUAUUGGGUUUAAAGGGUCCGUAGGCGGAUCUGUAAGUCAGUGGUGAAAUCUCACAGCCUAACUGUGAAACUGCCAUUGAUACUGCAGGUCUUGAGUGUUGUUGAAGUAGCUGGAAUAAGUAGUGUAGCGGUGAAAUGCAUAGAUAUUACUUAGAACACCAAUUGCGAAGGCAGGUUACUAAGCAACAACUGACGCUGAUGGACGAAAGCGUGGGGAGCGAACAGGAUUAGAUACCCUGGUAGUCCACGCCGUAAACGAUGCUAACUCGUUUUUGGGCUUUCGGGUUCAGAGACUAAGCGAAAGUGAUAAGUUAGCCACCUGGGGAGUACGAACGCAAGUUUGAAACUCAAAGGAAUUGACGGGGGCCCGCACAAGCGGUGGAUUAUGUGGUUUAAUUCGAUGAUACGCGAGGAACCUUACCAAGGCUUAAAUGGGAAAUGACAGGUUUAGAAAUAGACUUUUCUUCGGACAUUUUUCAAGGUGCUGCAUGGUUGUCGUCAGCUCGUGCCGUGAGGUGUUAGGUUAAGUCCUGCAACGAGCGCAACCCCUGUCACUAGUUGCCAUCAUUAAGUUGGGGACUCUAGUGAGACUGCCUACGCAAGUAGAGAGGAAGGUGGGGAUGACGUCAAAUCAUCACGGCCCUUACGCCUUGGGCCACACACGUAAUACAAUGGCCGGUACAGAGGGCAGCUACACAGCGAUGUGAUGCAAAUCUCGAAAGCCGGUCUCAGUUCGGAUUGGAGUCUGCAACUCGACUCUAUGAAGCUGGAAUCGCUAGUAAUCGCGCAUCAGCCAUGGCGCGGUGAAUACGUUCCCGGGCCU
rnacentral:rRNA from 1 species